GGGUUGUGAGGUUAAGCGACUAAGCGUACACGGUGGAUGCCCUGGCAGUCAGAGGCGAUGAAGGACGUGCUAAUCUGCGAUAAGCGCCGGUAAGGUGAUAUGAACCGUUAUAACCGGCGAUUUCCGAAUGGGGAAACCCAGUGUGACUCGUCACACUAUCAUUAACUGAAUCCAUAGGUUAAUGAGGCGAACCGGGGGAACUGAAACAUCUAAGUACCCCGAGGAAAAGAAAUCAACCGAGAUUCCCCCAGUAGCGGCGAGCGAACGGGGAGGAGCCCAGAGCCUGAAUCAGCAUGUGUGUUAGUGGAAGCGUCUGGAAAGGCGCGCGAUACAGGGUGACAGCCCCGUACACAAAAGCGCAUGUGCUGUGAGCUCGAUGAGUAGGGCGGGACACGUGGUAUCCUGUCUGAAUAUGGGGGGACCAUCCUCCAAGGCUAAAUACUCCUGACUGACCGAUAGUGAACCAGUACCGUGAGGGAAAGGCGAAAAGAACCCCGGCGAGGGGAGUGAAAAAGAACCUGAAACCGUGUACGUACAAGCAGUGGGAGCACCCUUUGGGGUGUGACUGCGUACCUUUUGUAUAAUGGGUCAGCGACUUAUAUUCUGUAGCAAGGUUAACCGUAUAGGGGAGCCGGAGGGAAACCGAGUCUUAAUUGGGCGUUAAGUUGCAGGGUAUAGACCCGAAACCCGGUGAUCUAGCCAUGGGCAGGUUGAAGGUUGGGUAACACUAACUGGAGGACCGAACCGACUAAUGUUGAAAAAUUAGCGGAUGACCUGUGGCUGGGGGUGAAAGGCCAAUCAAACCGGGAGAUAGCUGGUUCUCCCCGAAAGCUAUUUAGGUAGCGCCUCGUGAAUUCAUCUCCGGGGGUAGAGCACUGUUUCGGCUAGGGGGCCAUCCCGGCUUACCAACCCGAUGCAAACUGCGAAUACCGGAGAAUGUUAUCACGGGAGACACACGGCGGGUGCUAACGUCCGUCGUGAAGAGGGAAACAACCCAGACCGCCAGCUAAGGUCCCAAAGUCAUGGUUAAGUGGGAAACGAUGUGGGAAGGCCCAGACAGCCAGGAUGUUGGCUUAGAAGCAGCCAUCAUUUAAAGAAAGCGUAAUAGCUCACUGGUCGAGUCGGCCUGCGCGGAAGAUGUAACGGGGCUAAACCAUGCACCGAAGCUGCGGCAGCGACACUCAGGUGUUGUUGGGUAGGGGAGCGUUCUGUAAGCCUGUGAAGGUGGCCUGUGAGGGUUGCUGGAGGUAUCAGAAGUGCGAAUGCUGACAUAAGUAACGAUAAAGCGGGUGAAAAGCCCGCUCGCCGGAAGACCAAGGGUUCCUGUCCAACGUUAAUCGGGGCAGGGUGAGUCGACCCCUAAGGCGAGGCCGAAAGGCGUAGUCGAUGGGAAACGGGUUAAUAUUCCCGUACUUGGUGUUACUGCGAAGGGGGGACGGAGAAGGCUAUGUUGGCCGGGCGACGGUUGUCCCGGUUUAAGCGUAUAGGUGUGUGUUCCAGGUAAAUCCGGUUCACUUUAACACUGAGGCGUG
rnacentral:rRNA from 1 species